AGACAUGGAAUGCACAAAUGAUGAAAUGAGACACUAUGAUUCCAGUUCAAAAGACAUGAAAAGCACAAAAGAUAAAAUGAGACACUAUGAUUUCAAUUCAAAAGACAUGAAAAGCACAAAAGUUAACCAAAGAAAAUACAAACAAUGAGACUAUUCCGAUCCUGACUGGGUCCCAUACGAUGAAUUCAUGCAGCAAUUCCUGGACGAAAGAAAUUCAAUGAUGCAGGAUAGACAUAUAUGAUAUAUGUAUAGAUACUGUUACUCCGCAUUUUACAAACACAUUAACGAAUAUAGUAUUUAAACUUUCAGUUACUCGUUGCAGAUACACCUUUGAGGAGAUUGCAAUAGAUAAUUUAGAUAAUUUCUAACAUUAAUUGACUGGCGUUUUGCACUUGACGACAAUUCCAGAAACUAAAAAAAAACUAAACAGCAUUUAGUGUAACAAAUUACUUGUGAACAUGAUAGAGACGACAUUUUGCAAUCGAUUUUAUUCAAACUCGGACACAACAUGUAGUGGCAUAAUGUAUCGAAUCAUUUCGAAAAUGGCCAGAUACUUUCAUCGGAUCAAGGGUUUAUACCCACUGAAGAGCCAAAAUUUGCGAUUUUGUCUUGUGACCGCGAUAGAGAUCUCAUUUCGCAAUAGAUUUUAAUCAAACUUUCACACAACUUAUACGGCUUAACACCUCGGUUUCUUUUGAAAACUGACCAGAUCCCGUCUUGAGUUCUAGAGUAAUGUUCCAAGGGCCAAACAUUGCUAUUUUGACCUUUUGUUUGUACUAAUGUUUGUUUUAAGCUCGAUUGCGAUGAGAGCUUCAAGCUUAUUGAAACCACUCUCGAGUCCGCUCCCUGGAAAGAAAACAGUACUGGUGUCAUAUGAGAAGUCAUGAUCGUAACCCCAUUAGGGCAUGGACCCACGACCUCAGGAUUGAGCGGCAGACACCUUAUCCACUAGACCACCUCUUACCUUAUUCACGAGGUUCUAUUUGUUGUUUGAAUUAAUAAAACUUGCAAAAUAUCUUUGACAACAAUAGAUCUUGGCUUCCAUGGUGAAUUCAUUAGAUCCAAUCAUAAGUUCCGGAGUUACGUCGCCUAAGUGACCACUGAAAGAGCCCAAAUUUGUUAAUUAUCAUAAUGUGAAGAAGACAGAAGUUACAUGUCAUAUUUGAUUUUAACCCAAAUUACACACAACUUAAGACACAAUAAGAUCUCGGUUCUGUUCGAAAACCGGCUAAAUUCAAUAAAAUGUUCUGGAUUACCUACCCCUGAAUAGGGGCAAACAUUUCUAUUUUGCACUAUUAGUAAUAUAGAGGCUUCAUUAUGCUUUUAUUGAUACAAGCUUGCAUAAAAUGUUUCUCUUGGUGCUCGCUAGGCCAAGUUCGAAAAUGGGUCAUUUGUGUUCAAAAACCAUUCAACCUAUCUUUCAUGAAACUUGGUCAUAAUGUUUAUUUUAAUGAUUCUAUGUUAAACAGGGAUAUCCUGUGUCAAAGACCAAAUCAAAGGGAAAGCCUGUUAUUGCUCUUGGGGUCACACUUAUGACCAUAUCUCCAUUAAACAUGGUCAAAAUGUUUAUCUCAAUGAUUCCGAAGACAAGUUUUACAGAUUAGCAGCUAUAUAGGUUGAUCAUAACCUUGUUGUUUUUGUUUUGUUGGCAUGGUCUAUGUAUUCCAUGCUAGGGCAUCAUGUGAAAAUUGCGACUAAAUGUAACAUUUCACCUUUCGUUACUCUUUUUUCAACGUACAAAGUAAAAUGUUUGGGUCAGAGUCUGGAAUGAACUAAGUCAUAUUCUGACUGACACAGUAAAUAAAUAACUGGACACUUGAAUUAACAUAAACCUUAAAUCUUUUUCUAGAAAAAUGAACUUAAGCAUUCCUCAAUAAAAAAGUAGAUUUCAAAGUUUUCUUGAUAGAAACUACUGGUCUUCUAUUAAACAAUAAAGCAAAUAUUUCUUGGGUGAUCAUCUACCAAGAUUUUUAAAUCGUUAUUCUCCGUCAAGAAAAUUUCCGUAUAUGAUUUACUAAGAAUAAAUGUACAAGUCGUCUUGUCAGUAACUUUAAAGGAAUGAUGAGGAGUGACUUUCUAAUUAGAUUAUUCAAAUUAAUUAUAUUCGUCAAAACGAUCCAUGUAAUUAGAGUCAUGGUCUCCUUUGUCUUUAUGCAAAUACAUGUAGUGGAAACUGCUGACCUUAUAAGAAAUGUUACACACAAAUGUUUCUUACAUGACUCUACUAAGAUAAAUCCUUUACUUAAAAAAGUUCAAAUAAGUGUGAUUUGUCAAAAUCAGGACGAGUGGUCAAUUUUUUUUUCAGAAACUGUGGCUAUCACGGGUUCGAGGUAACUUUUCCCUAUCUGAAUAUAACAAAUGAUUUUAUAUCUCAUUUUCUAAAAUUGCCUCCCUGGUUUUAUUUUUUUUUAGUAAGAUUGUUUAAAUUAUUAAAAUUUGUUAUAAAAGAACGACAACAACAGCAACAAAAUAAUUAAAAAAACACGGUGCUUGUAGAUUGUCAUGUAACAAGCUGUUAAUAUACUCAUGUUUUUUUUUAAACAUAUUUUGAUAUACAUUACAACAGCCCACCCCACCCGCCCUUCUCUAAUGAUAUUUAUCAGAUACUGUUAGUUUGAAUGUAUUUUUAGUAAUAAUAUACUUUUAUGAAUGUGCGUUCACACAUUGGAAGAAUGCAUAUACUAUGUGUAUUGUAAAAAUGUUACAACUAACAAUAUGCAGUGUAAUAAUUCAGAAUUUGGUAAAUAUGUUUGUGUAUGUUAGAUCAAGCAUUCUAAAGAGUUAUGGAUUAAAUGAUUGCGUUUAUCUAUUUUUUUACAAGUUUUGUUACGACUGUUUGGACUAAAAUAUAUAUCUGUUCUUCUGUAUUGAUCUUUUGGCAUAUUCUAAAUUGUUUCAUUAUGGCUACAAAUACAUAGAUAUUGUUGCAGAAUGUUUCCUAAUCUAAUACAACAAUAAAGGUU
rnacentral:lncRNA from 1 species